rnacentral:antisense_RNA from 1 species
CUUCACCGACCCCAGCCACAGCGGACGCUCCCGCUCCUGCCCGUACGUCGCCAGCAGCGCCUGCGCCUC